GGGACUUUGAAGAAAGGAAGACUAGGAAAUGUCCAUCCUGCUCAUCUUAACAGGGAGAAAAAUCAGAAACAUUCACCCUGUCGACAUUAGGAAGGAAUAUUCAGAGUCCUAGAGAUUUUCCUGGAAACUUUUCUCUACCACUCCAUUUGAGCAAUGAGACAUCUUGAACAGAGGCCAUAAACUGGACAAAGGAAAAUGAAGACUGCUAUUUGGCCUCCCUUGCCUAAGGCCUGGACUAGAUCUAUUCAAUAGAACUUCUGCCUAAGGAAUUCAGAGCUGGUGCUAAACAGCAUUGUAGGGAAGAAGAGAGAUGAAUGGGUACAGUCAAGUCUUGGUCGCUCAAGCACCAUGUAUUGCCAUCAAGCAAAUACUUUGCUCUGCAAAGUAUUUAUACCUGAGGUACCUGGCCAUGACCCAGCGUGGUAAGAACAUUGCUGUGAGAACCUGGACCAGAGUCACUGUGGAAAAAGAUGUUGCCUCAUUGUGGAAAGAUUUUUACAAUCUGCAAUUUGCUAUAGGCCAGCAAUCCUCCCACUGACAGCCUUUUUUGAAAAAAAAUUAAAAAUAAAUUUAGAGUUUAUGCAUAAUAAAAACUUUAUG